AUGAGCAAUGAGAGGCCAGAGAACCCUGAUCCAUCCCCACUGACUGAAAGCCUGAAGAGAAAGAGGGGGAGACCAAAGAAACAGACACAGGUGAGUGUAUGUCACCCAAAGAUCCUGCCUGAGGUGCCCACUGUUAAUCUGGUAGGAUCUGCAGGCAGCAAAGAGCAAAGAAAGCCAAGGUUUUGUGUAGUAAAUAUUAAGGCUAUUCAGGAAAGCAGCAGCAUGCGUGCUCUGGGGUAUCAGCCCCUGGUGCCAGAGGAGCCCCAGUGUCCACAUGGAAAACUGCUCAGACCAGGGAGAGGGAUGGGAAGAGCUGCUCAGGUCUCUGCUGCAGUCUGGAGGCUUUUGGGUGUCACAGCCCUCUGCCUCUACACCAGUAGUUGGAUGGAAGGCAACUGCAGGCUGUUCUCACCCUGUUCCAGGUGCUAUGGUCAGGAUCCUGGCAACUUAUCCAUUUUCCCAAGCCAAAAUGUAAAAGGAAUUAGAGGCAUUGCUGCCCAUCUUCUCGUGUGUUUCAGCAUCAGGAAAAGCAGAGACAACCAGGUAGGCUUGUCAGGAGUGACCCUGAUGAAUUUUCCCUUUAUUGCAGGAGGAGGCUUUGGGACCAGUGCUGGAGAAGAAGCCACGAGGAAGGCCAAAAGGAAGCAAGAAAGUGAGCAGUGUAACUGGACAAAUGGUAACAGUGAAUGGCUUGUGUGCUUUACCAAGGGGAGGAGAGAUGCUGGCUGUAUGAGAGGAAUGAGGGAUUUCUCUUAUGAUGGGGAAACUGGGGAAAGCUGCCCCUAUUGUGGUUCAUCCUCAGCUGCUGCCGUUGGACCCACCAGUUCCUGCAGCCUUUGUCUGAAGUCCCCCAGCCCUCCUGCCCCUGCCUGCUCAGCACUUCCUGCUGCAGUUUGUGCUGCUGGUUUCCAUGUAGUGACAGUCAGUGGGAUUCCAUGGGUGCUUCCUCCUCAGCUGUCCCCCUCCCCCAGCUUUGGCUCCUUUUUUUGCUUGUCCUGCAAGAGCUUCAUGCAGAGUUCACUUUGA
rnacentral:lncRNA from 1 species